rnacentral:rRNA from 1 species
UACGUAGGGUGCAAGCGUUAAUCGGAAUUACUGGGCGUAAAGCGCGCGUAGGCGGCUUUGUAAGUUAGAGGUGAAAGCCCGGGGCUCAACUCCGGGAACUGCCUUUAAGACUGCAUCGCUUGAAUCCGGGAGAGGUGAGUGGAAUUCCGAGUGUAGAGGUGAAAUUCGUAGAUAUUCGGAAGAACACCAGUGGCGAAGGCGGCUCACUGGACCGGGUAUUGACGCUGGAGGUGACGAAAGCGUGGGGAGCAAA